AUCUACAACCAUACAACCCCGCAGGCACCUGAUUUCGUCUGAUCUCAGAAGCUAAGUAGGGUCAGGCCUGGUUAGUAUUUGGAUGGAAGGAAUUGUCUUUG
rnacentral:rRNA from 1 species